AUUGAACGCUGGCGGCAUGCCUUACACAUGCAAGUCGAACGGGGGUAGCAAUACCCUAGUGGCGAACGGGUGAGUAAAGCAUCGGAACGUACCCAGUCGUGGGGGAUAUCGUAGCGAAAGUUACGCUAAUACCGCAUACGAUCUGAGGAUGAAAGCAGGGGACUCGCAAGAGCCUUGCGCGAUUGGAGCGGCCGAUGUCGGAUUAGCUAGUUGGUGGGGUAAAGGCCUACCAAGCCUACGAUCUGUAGCUGGUCUGAGAGGACGACCAGCCACACUGGGACUGAGACACGGCCCAGACUCCUACGGGAGGCAGCAGUGGGGAAUUUUGGACAAUGGACGCAAGUCUGAUCCAGCCAUGCCGCGUGCGGGAAGAAGGCCUUCGGGUUGUAAACCGCUUUUGUCAGGGAAGAAAAGGUUCUGGUUAAUACCUGGGACUCAUGACGGUACCUGAAGAAUAAGCACCGGCUAACUACGUGCCAGCCGCCGCAGUAAGAC
rnacentral:rRNA from 1 species